rnacentral:rRNA from 1 species
GACGAACGCUGGCGGCGUGCUUAACACAUGCAAGUCGAACGGAAAGGCCCUGCUUGCAGGGUACUCGAGUGGCGAACGGGUGAGUAACACGUGGGUGAUCUGCCCUGCACUUCGGGAUAAGCCUGGGAAACUGGGUCUAAUACCGGAUAGGAGCCAUUUUUAGUGUGAUGGUUGGAAAGUUUUUUCGGUGUAGGAUGAGCUCGCGGCCUAUCAGCUUGUUGGUGGGGUAAUGGCCUACCAAGGCGGCGACGGGUAGCCGGCCUGAGAGGGUGGACGGCCACAUUGGGACUGAGAUACGGCCCAGACUCCUACGUGAGGCAGCAGUGGGGAAUAUUGCACAAUGGGCGCAAGCCUGAUGCAGCGACGCCGCGUGGGGGAUGACGGCCUUCGGGUUGUAAACUCCUUUCGCUAGGGACGAAGCUUUUUGUGACGGUACCUAGAUAAGAAGCACCGGCUAACUACGUG